GACGAACGCUGGCGGCGUGCUUAACACAUGCAAGUCGAACGGAAAGGCCCUGCUUUUGUGGGGUGCUCGAGUGGCGAACGGGUGAGUAACACGUGAGUAACCUGCCCUUGACUUUGGGAUAACUUCAGGAAACUGGGGCAAAAACCGGAAAGGACCCCCGGCUGAAGGGGGGGGGUGGGAAAGUUUGGCCGGUUGGGGAUGGAUCCGCGCGUUUUCGGCUUGUUGGUGGGGUAGUGGCUUACCAAGGCUUUGCGGGGUGGCCGGCCUGGGAGGGUGACCGGCCACAUUGGGCCUGAGAUACGGCCCAGACUCCUACGGGAGGCAGCAGUGGGGAAUAUUGCACAAUGGGCGGAAGCCUGAUGCAGCAACGCCGCGUGCGGGAUGACGGCCUUCGGGUUGUAAACCGCUUUCGCCUGUGACGAAGCGUGAGUGACGGUAAUGGGUAAAGAAGCACCGGCUAACUACGUG
rnacentral:rRNA from 1 species